GACGAACGCUGGCGGCGUGCUUAACACAUGCAAGUCGAACGGUAAGGCCCUUCGGGGUACACGAGUGGCGAACGGGUGAGUAACACGUGGGUGAUCUGCCCUGCACUUCGGGAUAAGCCUGGGAAACUGGGUCUAAUACCGGAUAGGACCACUGCCUGCAUGGGUGGUGGUGGAAAGCUUUCGCGGUGUGGGAUGGGCCCGCGGCCUAUCAGCGUGUUGGUGGGGUGAUGGCCUACCAAGGCGACGACGGGUAGCCGGCCUGAGAGGUUGACCGGCCAUACUGGGACUGAGAUACGGCCCAGACUCCUACGGGAGGCAGCAGUGGGGAAUAUUGUACAAUGGGCGCAAGCCUGAUGCAGCGACGCCGCGUGAGGGAUGACGGCCUUCGGGUUGUAAACCUCUUUCAGCACCGACGAAGCGCAAGUGACGGUAGGUGCAGAAGAAGGACCGGCCAACUACGUGCCAGCCGCCGCCGUAA
rnacentral:rRNA from 1 species